rnacentral:rRNA from 1 species
UACAGGGGGUGCAAACGUUGCUCGGAAUCAUUGGGCGUAAAGCGCACGUAGGCGGUUCGUUAUGUCGGAUGUGAAAGCCCUUGGCUUAACCGAGGAAGUGCAUCCGAAACUGGCGAGCUAGAGUACUAAAGAGGAUCGCGGAAUUCCCGGUGUAGCGGUGAAAUGCGCAGAUAUCGGGAAGAACACCCGUGGCGAAGGCGGCCCCCUGGUUGGAUACUGACGCUGAGACGCGAAAGCGUGGGGAGCAAACAGG